GCCUGAAAACAACCGAGCCUGAAAACAACCGAGCCUGAAAACAACCGAGCCUGAAAACACCGUGCCUGAAAACAACCCAUCCUGAAAACCCCGACCCUGAACACAACCGACCCUGAAAACAACCGACCCUGAAAUUCCAAGCCUGAUAGAAGGAUAAAACUGGAAUGAGAACUCCCUUUUCAAAUCCCAGAACACCCUGUUCAAAAUUAUGCCAGAACACCCUGUUCAAAUGCCAGAACUCCAUUUUCAAAUGCCAGAACUCCAUUUUCAAAUGCCAGAACUCCA